rnacentral:piRNA from 1 species
UUGUAUUACCAAUCCUAGAAA